rnacentral:rRNA from 1 species
AUUGAACGCUGGCGGCAUGCUUUACACAUGCAAGUCGAACGGUAGACCCUUUCGGGGGUUGAGAGUGGCGAACGGGUGAGUAAUGCAUCGGAACGUGCCCAGUCGUGGGGGAUAACGCAGCGAAAGUUGUGCUAAUACCGCAUACGACCUGAGGGUGAAAAGCGGGGGGACCGGUAACGGCCUCGCGCGAUUGGAGCGGCCGAUGUCUGAUUAGCUAGUUGGUGGGUAAAGCUCACCAAGGCGACGAUCAGUAGCGGGUCUGAGAGGAUGAUCCGCCACACUGGGACUGAGACACGGCCCAGACUCCUACGGGAGGCAGCAGUGGGGAAUUUUGGACAAUGGGGGAAACCCUGAUCCAGCCAUGCCGCGUGCGGGAAGAAGGCCUCGGUGUAA